GAUCAGGUCAAUUUGAAAACAAUCGAAUGUAUUGAAUCCCAGUCUAAAGGAGAUAUAGAGGAAAUAAAAGAAGUGGUUGCUCUAGUGAGAACAACAAAUUCUGCACUGCUGGAUCAUAAAAACAAAAUUAGUGAUGUAAAAAGGAAACUCAAUAAACUAAAGAAAGUUCAAGCAACAAAUGAAGAAGCAAAAGACAAAACACAAGAAAAUGAAAAAGAUACAUCAGAAAUAAAUAAAUAAAAAAACAGCAGUUUGAAAAAGGGAAUAGAGCAUAAUGCAAUACCGUUUACUUCAAUACAAAAAACUGAAGAUUGUUUACCGUUAAUGAAGCAGUGGAGAGAAAACUUGUUAGAAAAGUCAAACCAACGUUUUCUUGACACUAUGUUUUCACCAGAAAUUGUAAACCAGGCUAAAGAACAUGACAUAUCCGAGAGUAAGAAACGGGAAAACAACAAUUUUGAAGAGAGAAUAAAAUAUCUUGAAGAAACACAGGCGUUGUUACUGGAUUCAAUGCGGUCGAGAGAUAGAGAAUUAAUAGAAAUAAAACAAUGGAGAGACAAAUGUAUACCUGAACAAAGUGAUAUGGUGAUAAAAAUAAAUCAACUGCUCAAUAAAAAACAAGAAAAUAACACCAAAACAAUGAAAGACAUGCGAGAAUACAAUCAACUGAUGGAGAACUCCAGAAAGCAAGAUUCACAA